GAACUCGUCGGGUUAGCAGUUCCCGAGCAUAUAUGGCGAGGGGAGUACAGUAAGAACGGCCUUAACUCUGGGUAGCUUGGAACUGGUCUAAACCGAUAUGACUCCUCACGCAGGGGGGGGUGUUUUGGAUGGACUCGCGGCCUAUCAGCUUGUUGGUGRGGUAAUGGCYUACCAAGGCGACGACGGGUAGCCGGCCUGAGAGGGUGACCGGCCACACUGGGACUGAGACACGGCCCAGACUCCUACGGGAGGCAGCAGUGGGGAAUAUUGCACAAUGGGCGCAAGCCUGAUGCAGCGACGCCGCGUGAGGGAUGACGGCCUUCGGGUUGUAAACCUCUUUCAGUAGGGAAGAAGCGWAAGUGACGGUACCUGCAGAAGAAGCGCCGGCUAACUACGUGCCAGCAGCCGCGGUAAUACGUAGGGCGCAAGCGUUAUCCGGAAUUAUUGGGCGUAAAGAGCUCGUAGGCGGUUUGUCGCGUCUGCCGUGAAAGUCCGGGGCUCAACUCCGGAUCUGCGGUGGGUACGGGCAGACUAGAGUGAUGUAGGGGAGACUGGAAUUCCUGGUGUAGCGGUGAAAUGCGCAGAUAUCAGGAGGAACACCGAUGGCGAAGGCAGGUCUCUGGGCAUUAACUGACGCUGAGGAGCGAAAGCAUGGGGAGCGAACAGGAUUAGAUACCCUGGUAGUCCAUGCCGUAAACGUUGGGCACUAGGUGUGGGGGACAUUCCACGUUUUCCGCGCCGUAGCUAACGCAUUAAGUGCCCCGCCUGGGGAGUACGGCCGCAAGGCUAAAACUCAAAGGAAUUGACGGGGGCCCGCACAAGCGGCGGAGCAUGCGGAUUAAUUCGAUGCAACGCGAAGAACCUUACCAAGGCUUGACGUGAACCGGAAAGACCUGGAAACAGGUCCCCGCUUGUGGUCGGUUUACAGGUGGUGCAUGGUUGUCGUCAGCUCGUGUCGUGAGAUGUUGGGUUAAGUCCCGCAACGAGCGCAACCCUCGUUCUAUGUUGCCAGCACGUGAUGGUGGGGACUCAUAGGAGACUGCCGGGGUCAACUCGGAGGAAGGUGGGGACGAGUCAAAUCAUCAUGCCCCUUAUGUCUUGGGCUUCACGCAUGCUACAAUGGCCGGUACAAAGGGUUGCGAUACUGUGAGGUGGAGCUAAUCCCAAAAAGCCGGUCUCAGUUCGGAUUGGGGUCUGCAACUCGACCCCAUGAAGUCGGAGUCGCUAGUAAUCGCAGAUCAGCAACGCUGCGGUGAAUACGUUCCCGGGCCUUGUACACACCGCCCGUCAAGUCACGAAAGUUGGUAA
rnacentral:rRNA from 1 species